AUUUCGGAUUUGUUUUGCCUGUAAUCGAUGCCUACAAUAUUUGUCUUUUAAAACAACAUGCUGGUAGCUCUGUUACAUUUUACUGUUAUCUUUGUGUUCAAAUUAAGCAAAAGUGUGCUUUUGUUAUCAUGUCAAAAAUAUAGAAACAAGAAAUCAAAAUAUAUAAUAUUUUGUUAACAACUAUAUUAAGAAAUGAGCCGGGGAAAGCAUUGCAUAGCGGCAGAGCUGAAGCUCUAAAAAAAUUUGCAAAAUAACGGUUAUAUCCACAAAAAAAUAGACAAAAUUAUAAAAAGAUCCCAAAAAUUUGUGUUUACUGCUUUGAAACGUCCAAAUGAAUGCGAAUUGAAGGGACGGCCAUGAAAAACGACAUCGGAUGACAAUUACAUAGAGAUUUUAUAAAAACUCGAUCCUUGGGAGUUCUCUGUAGCUAUCCAAAGAGAAUUGGGUGUAGAAAUUUCUUCGAGAACUGUUGCGCGUCGCCUUGUGAAGAAGAAUCUCUUCGGAAGGUUGUUCCAGAAAGUUUCAAUAUGUUAGAUAUGAAAUGAAUCCCCAACACACGACCAAAACUUUCAAACACGGAGGUGAUAAUAGCAUGAUAUGGGGAUAUGGUACGGUUUUUGACCGCUGUUUUGGAUUCGGGAAAUUAUGAACCGUUAGCGCUACCUUAAAUUUUAGAAGAUGUAUUGCUUACUUAUGCUGAAUGGAACAUGCUUUUUAUUUGGCAUUUCCAACAUGACAAUGAGCCAAAACAUAGCACGGGUGUGGUCAGGACGUGGCUACAGUAUCAAGGAAUCGAUGUUAUGACUUGGCCGGCGCAAUCUUUAAAUUAAAAUCCUAUUGAAAACCUGUGGAAGAUUGCAAAGGAAAAGUUGCGAUCCAGUAAACCACGAAAUAAGGAGGUAUUAUGGCAAAAAGUGCAAGAGGCGUGGUAUUCAAUACUGAAUUCAGUCUGUAAAAGGCUUAGUACGGCAGCGUAGUACACGCUAAUAAAGGUGUUGCAACAAAAUGCUAGCUGAUAUGCAUUUUUAGUUAUAAUAGUAAACUAUUUACGAGUUUAGGUUCCAUGAUUCUUUUUUAUUGUCAAUUGAAGUUGCUGACAGUUCCUUUAAAAGUUUUGAAAAUAUUUUAUGGUCAGCAACUGUAUAUUAUUUGCAUGCGAUUGUAUCUACAUACAUAUAUACAUACAAAUAUGUGUAAAAUCAGCUUUGGGUUAAACAAAGCUGCACAAUAAUAAAAAUUAUAUUUUUGCAUUUGCAUUUUCAUACAAACAUACAAUGUAUUUGAUAAGCAAGACACACAUACAUGCAUAUACAUACAUUUAUAGAUAUUACAGCAAAAGAUAAGCUCUUUGUGGCAAGUUGUUCAUAUAUGUUUACAUGCUUCAUUCAAAAGUGUCAUACAUUCUCCUUAAUAUUUAUUAUUUAUUUUAAUAAAAAUGUGCAAACUUUCACAAAUUCCGUUAACCUUGCAAGCGGAAGUCCAACGUA